GAUGAACGCUGGCGGCGUGCCUAAUACAUGCAAGUCGAGCGAACGGACGAGAAGCUCGCUUCUCUGAUGUUAGCGGCGGACGGGUGAGUAACACGUGGAUAACCUACCUAUAAGACUGGGAUAACUUCGGGAAACCGUAGCUAAUACCGGAUAAUAUUUUGAACCGCAUGGUUCAAAAGUGAAAGACGGUCUUGCUGUCACUUAUAGAUGGAUCCGCGCUGCAUUAGCUAGUUGGUAAGGUAACGGCUUACCAAGGCAACGAUGCAUAGCCGGCCUGAGAGGGUGAUCGGCCACACUGGAACUGAGACACGGUCCAGACUCCUACGGGAGGCAGCAGUAGGGAAUCUUCCGCAAUGGGCGAAAGCCUGACGGAGCAACGCCGCGUGAGUGAUGAAGGUCUUCGGAUCGUAAAACUCUGUUAUUAGGGAAGAACAUAUGUGUAAGUAACUGUGCACAUCUUGACGGUACCUAAUCAGAAAGCCACGGCUAACUACGUG
rnacentral:rRNA from 1 species